rnacentral:rRNA from 1 species
AGUUUGAUCCUGGCUCAGAGUGAACGCUGGCGGUAGGCCUAACACAUGCAAGUCGAACGGCAGCACAGAGGAGCUUGCUCCUUGGGUGGCGAGUGGCGGACGGGUGAGGAAUACAUCGGAAUCUACUCUGUCGUGGAGGAUAACGUAGGGAAACUUACGCUAAUACCGCAUACGACCUACGGGUGAAAGCAGGGGAUCUUCGGACCUUGCGCGAUUGAAUGAGCCGAUGUCGGAUUAGCUAGUUGGCGGGGUAAAGGCCCACCAAGGCGACGAUCCGUAGCUGGUCUGAGAGGAUGAUCAGCCACACUGGAACUGAGACACGGUCCAGACUCCUACGGGAGGCAGCAGUGGGGAAUAUUGGACAAUGGGCGCAAGCCUGAUCCAGCCAUACCGCGUGGGUGAAGAAGGCCUUCGGGUUGUAAAGCCCUUUUGUUGGGAAAGAAAUCCAGCUGGCUAAUACCCGGUUGGGAUGACGGUACCCAAAGAAUAAGCACCGGCUAU